UACGUAGGGGGCUAGCGUUGUCCGGAAUCAUUGGGCGUAAAGCGCGUGUAGGCGGCCCGGUAAGUCCGCUGUGAAAGUCGGGGGCUCAACCCUCGGAUGCCGGUGGAUACUGUCGGGCUCGAGUACGGAAGAGGCGAGUGGAAUUCCUGGUGUAGCGGUGAAAUGCGCAGAUAUCAGGAGGAACACCAAUUGCGAAGGCAGCUCGCUGGGACGUAACUGACGCUGAGAAGCGAAAGCAUGGGGAGCGAACAGG
rnacentral:rRNA from 1 species